UGGAAGUAUGUCAUUGGGGGUGAGCUUUGAGGUAGCAGAAAGCUCAAGCCAGGCCCAGUGUGUGUGUGUGUGUGUGUGUGUGUGUGUGUGUCUAUCUUCCUGCUGACUGCAGAUCUAGACGUAGAGUCCUCAGCUUCCUCCCCAGCAGUCUGCCUACAUGAGACUAUGUUCCCACCAUGAUAAAAUUGAAACCUCGGAAUCUGUAAGCCAGCCCCUCAUCAAUGCUUUCCUUUUGAACAGUUGCCAUCUAUGGUCAUGGUGCUUCUUCGCAGCGAUAGAACAUUGACUAAUAUAACAACAGCAGACCCAAAGCUGCUCUCAAUGACGUGAUCCACAAAGAAUAAAACACUCACUAACUGAUCUACAGAAGAAAGUAGUAACACUUGCUCUAAAUUGGUUUCUACUAAGAGUUAAUGUCUUAUCUACAUGAAUAACAAUCCAGAAAAAAAGAACCAAGAGCAACUACAAAGAAAGAAAAAGAGAGAUUAGAAGGACCUAGUGUUCAGCCUACAAACAUUGCAUUUUCAAAAACACUUGGGGUUCUUUUCUUGGUCUGUCUUGCUGGUCAUCUGCUAAUUCCUGCAGUGUUGGACCUCUGUCCUCUCUGCCUCCGUGUCUGGAUUGCUGCUGUGCUCCCUCAGAGCUCCUUCCUGUCGGAAGACCACUCCCGAUUCCUUUAUGCACAUGGCUCCAGGGUAGGUUUUAAAUGGAGGUGGGGUUUUCUCCUUUCUUUCUGUCUCUCAUCUUAGUCCCACGUGGCUUUGAUGACAGAGGAUGGGGACAGCCUUAAUUCUGUACUUCCCUCUGCCCCUACUUUGAAUGCGGUGUUUUGAUCCUCAG
rnacentral:lncRNA from 1 species